GAUCCUGGCUCAGGAUGAACGCUGGCGGCGUGCUUAACACAUGCAAGUCGAACGGACUUAACCGAAAGUUUACUUUUGGAGCGGUUAGUGGCGGACUGGUGAGUAACACGUAAGCAACCUGCCUAUCAGAGGGGAACAACAGUUAGAAAUGACUGCUAAUACCGCAUAUGCCUAAGUAUCACAUGGUACAAUAGGGAAAGAAGCAAUUCGCUGAUAGAUGGGCUUGCGUCUGAUUAGA
rnacentral:rRNA from 1 species